UGGGGAAUAUUGCACAAUGGAGGGAACUCUGCUGCAGCGACGCCGCGUGAGUGAUGAAGGAAUUCGUUUCGUAAAACUCUGUUCUAUGGGAAGAAAAGGACUGUACCAUAGGAGAAAGCUCCGGCUAAAUACGUGCCAGCAGCCGCGGUAAUACGUAUGGAGCGAGCGUUGUCCGGAAUCACUGGGCGUAAAGGGUUCGCAGGCGGAAAUGCAAGUCAGGUGUAAAAGGCAGUAGCUUAACUACUGUAAGCAUUUGAAACUGCAUAUCUUGAGAAGAGUAGAGGUAAGUGGAAUUUUUAGUGUAGCGGUGAAAUGCGUAGAUAUUAAAAAGAAUACCGGUGGCGAAGGCGACUUACUGGGCUCAUUCUGACGCUGAGGAACGAAAGCGUGGGUAGCAAACAGG
rnacentral:rRNA from 1 species